AUCAGGAUCCUAUUCAGGAUCCUGUUAAUUUCAGGAUCCUAACAAGAUCCUACAGGAUCCUGCAGAUCCUACAGGAUCCUAUAGGAUCCUGCA